rnacentral:rRNA from 1 species
CGCAUGGACGAAGUCUGACGGAGCAACGCCGCGUGAGUGAUGAAGGUUUUCGGAUCGUAAAGCUCUGUUGUUAGGGAAGAACAAGUGCCGUUCAAAUAGGGCGGCACCUUGACGGUACCUAACCAGAAAGCCACGGCUAACUACGUGCCAGCAGCCGCG